GGUCCUCUGUGGCUCAGUUGGUAGAGCAUGGCACUUGGAACGCCAGGGUUGUGGGUUCGAUUCCCGCUGGGGCCU